rnacentral:pre_miRNA from 1 species
AAAAUACUCCCUUCGUCCAGAAUUACUUGUCAUCAAAAUGGAUGAAAAUGGAUGUAUCUACAACUAAAAUACAUCUAGAUACAUCCAUUUCAAUGACAAGUAUUUCCGGACGGAGGGAGUAGUUU